rnacentral:rRNA from 1 species
CCUACGGGUGGCAGCAGUGAGGAAUAUUGGUCAAUGGACGAGAGUCUGAACCAGCCAAGUAGCGUGAAGGAUUACUGCCCUAUGGGUUGUAAACUUCUUUUAUAAAGGAAUAAAACGAGGCACGUGUGCCUUUUUGCAUGUACUUUAUGAAUAAGGAUCGGCUAACUCCGGGCCAGCAGCCGCGGUAAUACGGAGGAUCCGAGCGUUAUCCGGAUUUAUUGGGUUUAAAGGGAGCGUAGAUGGGUUGUUAAGUCAGUUGUGAAAGUUUGCGGCUCAACCGUAAAAUUGCAAUUGAUACUGGCAGUCGUGAGUACAGUUGAGGUAGGCGGAAUUCGUGGUGUAGCGGUGAAAUGCUUAGAUAUCACGAAGAACCCCGAUUGCGAAGGCAGCUUACUAAACUGUGACUGACAUUGAUGCUCGAAAGUGUGGGUAUCAAACAGGAUUAGAUACCCGAGUAGUC